rnacentral:rRNA from 1 species
CCCAGACUCCUACGGGAGGCAGCAGUGGGGAAUAUUGGGCAAUGGGCGCAAGCCUGACCCAGCAACGCCGCGUGAAGGAAGAAGGCUUUCGGGUUGUAAACUUCUUUUCUCAGGGACGAAGCAAGUGACGGUACCUGAGGAAUAAGCCACGGCUAACUACGUGCCAGCAGCCGCGGUAAUACGUAGGUGGCAAGCGUUAUCCGGAUUUACUGGGUGUAAAGGGCGUGUAGGCGGGACUGCAAGUCAGAUGUGAAAACCACGGGCUCAACCUGUGGCCUGCAUUUGAAACUGUAGUUCUUGAGUACUGGAGAGGCAGACGGAAUUCCUAGUGUAGCGGUGAAAUGCGUAGAUAUUAGGAGGAACACCAGUGGCGAAGGCGGAUUGCUGGACAGUAACUGACGCUGAGGCGCGAAAGCGUGGGGAGCAAACAGGAUUAGAUACCCCCGUAAA